rnacentral:rRNA from 1 species
CACGUAGGGUGCGAGCGUUGUCCGGAAUUAUUGGGCGUAAAGAGCUCGUAGGCGGUGUGUCGCGUCGGCCGUGAAAACCUGCAGCUUAACUGUGGGCUUGCGGUCGAUACGGGCAUCACUGGAGUUCGGCAGGGGAGACUGGAAUUCCUGGUGUAGCGGUGAAAUGCGCAGAUAUCAGGAGGAACACCGGGUGGCGAAGGCGGGUCUCUG